rnacentral:lncRNA from 1 species
CCGGAGCCGGGAAGCCGCGGCAGGCGCUGCCCUGCCCGCGCCGGGAGUGAGCGGCUGCGCGGCUGCUGAGAGGGUGAAUGAAGCCGGGAGGAGGGGAGGGGGGAGGCGGCGGCGGCGGAGGAGGCGCUGCGGGCGCUGGGAUGCGCCCGGAGCCCCGCUGCUCGCUCACUCUGGGCCGGGCCGGAGACUCCGCCACUCCCGCGGCCGCCGCCGCCUCCUACGUGGUUCCAGCGCUGCGCGCAGGCCGGUCCCGCAGGGGGCAGGGCAGGGGGCCGGCCGGGCGGAGCGAGAGGAGGAGCCGGCUGCAAAUCACCGAGGUGUUCCAUUCAAGCUGCAGAUUUGUCUGUCGUCUUUGGACAGCAGUCUCUUCCUCCACGGCUGCUUUGGGGGAGUCCAACACCCAUCGGUCUCCCUACGCGCGUGCUCUUGUGACCCGGCUCUCCAAUUCAGGUCACAGAGAGUGCUGGUGGACAACUCUCCCUGCCCCAAGAUCUUCGGUGGAAGUCCACGGGACUUGGUGUCUGGGCCAUUCAAAGUAUAUAUGA